rnacentral:rRNA from 1 species
AGAGUUUGAUCCUGGCUCAGGAUGAACGCUGGCGGCGUGCCUAACACAUGCAAGUCGAACGGAAAUUACAGAAGGAAGUUUUCGGAUGGAAUUUUGUAAUUUUAGUGGCGGACGGGUGAGUAACACGUGGGUAACCUGCCCUGUACCGGGGGAUAACAGUUGGAAACGGCUGUUAAUACCGCAUAAGCGCACAGUUCCGCAUGGAGCAGUGUGAAAAACUCCGGUGGUACAGGAUGGACCCGCGUCUGAUUAGCUUGUUGGCGGAGUAACGGCCCACCAAGGCGACGAUCAGUAGCCGGCCUGAGAGGGUGAACGGCCACAUUGGGACUGAGACACGGCCCAGACUCCUACGGGAGGCAGCAGUGGGGAAUAUUGCACAAUGGAGGAACUCUGAUGCAGCGACGCCGCGUGAGCGAUGAAGUAUUUCGGUAUGUAAAGCUCUAUCAGCAGGGAAGAUAAUGACGGUACCUGACUAAGAAGCCCCGGCUAACUACGUGCCAGCAGCCGCGGUAAUACGUAGGGGCAAGCGUUAUCCCGGAUUUACUGGGUGUAAAGGGGGCGCAGACGGCGAUGCAAGUCUGAAGUGAAAUCCCACGGCUCAACUGUGGAAUUGCUUUGGGAAACUGUAUUGCUUGAGUGCUGGAGAGGUAGGCGGAUUCCUGGUGUAGCGGUGAAAUGCGUAGAUAUCAGGAAGAACAUCAGUGGCGAAGGCGGCUUACUGGACAGCAACUGACGUUGAAGC